GGACACCACGAACAGGUGGAGCCUGCGGUUUAAUCGGACUCAAACGCCGGGAAACUCACCAGAUAAGACAGCUGAAUGAUAGUCGGGCUGAAGACUCUACUUGACUAGCUGAGAGGAGGUGCAUGGCCGUCGUCAGUUCGUACUGUGAAGCAUCCUGUUAAGUCAGGCAACGAGCGAGACCCACGCCAACAGUUGCCAGCAUGUCCUCCGGGAUGAUGGGGACACUGUUGGGACCGCCUCUGCUAAAGAGGAGGAAGGAAUGGGCAACGGUAGGUCAGCAUGCCCCGAAUUAUCCGGGCUACACGCGGGCUACAAUGGUCAGGACAAUGGGUAUCGACACCGAGAGGUGGAGGCAAUCUCCUAAACCUGUCCUUAGUUCGGAUUGUGGGCUGCAACUCGCCCACAUGAAGCUGGAAUCCGUAGUAAUCGCGUUUCAAAAUAGCGCGGUGAAUAUGUCCCUGCUCCUU
rnacentral:rRNA from 1 species